rnacentral:rRNA from 1 species
UGCAGUCGNNCGAAGUAGCAAUACUUAGUGNCAGACGGGUGAGUAACAUGUAGGUAUCUACCCUUUGGCCUGGAAUAACACGAGGAAACUUGUGCUAAUACUGGAUAAGUCUUUACGGAGAAAGCUUUAUGCACCAUUGGAUGAGCCUGCACUUGAUUAGUUUGUUGGUAGGGUAAUGGCCUACCAAGGCUUUGAUCAAUAGCUGAUUUGAGAGGAUGAUCAGCCACAUUGGGACUGAGACACGGCCCAAACUCCUACGGGAGGCAGCAGUGGGGAAUCUUGCACAAUGGAGGAAACUCUGAUGCAGCGAUGCCGCGUGAGUGAAGAAGGCCUUUGGGUUGUAAAGCUCUUUCGUCGGGGAAGAAAAUGACUGUACCCGAAUAAGAAGGUCCGGCUAACUUCGUGCCAGCAGCCGCGGUAAUACGAAGGGACCUAGCGUAGUUCGGAAUUACUGGGCUUAAAGAGUUCGUAGGUGGUUGAAAAAGUUGGUGGUGAAAUCCCAGAGCUUAACUCUGGAACUGCCAUCAAAACUUUUCAGCUAGAGUUUGAUAGAGGAAAGCAGANUUUCUAGUGUAGAGGUGAAAUUCGUAGAUAUUAGAAAGAAUACCAAUUGCGAAGGCAGCUUUCUGGAUCAUUACUGACACUGANGAACGAAAGCAUGGGUAGCGAANANGAUUANAUACCCUCGUAGUCCAUGCCGUAAACGAUGUGUGUUAGACGUUGGAAAUUUAUUUUCAGUGUCGCAGCGAAAGCGAUAAACACACCGCCNGGGGNNUACGACCGCAAGGUUAAAACUCAAAUGAAUUNGACGGGGACCCGCACAAGUAGNGNAGCNNNNGGNUUNNUUNNNAAGAUACGCGCA